rnacentral:rRNA from 1 species
UACGUAGGGUCCGAGCGUUGUCCGGAAUUAUUGGGCGUAAAGCGCGUGUAGGCGGCCCGAUAAGUCCGCUGUGAAAGUCCAGGGCUCAACCCUGGAAUGCCGGUGGAUACUGUCGGGCUCGAGUCCGGAAGAGGCGAGUGGAAUUCCUGGUGUAGCGGUGAAAUGCGCAGAUAUCAGGAGGAACACCGGUGGCGAAGGCGGCCAGCUGGGCCGACCCUGACACUGAGGCGCGAAGGCGUGGGGAGCGAACGGG